GGUGACCUACGGGAGGCAGCAGUGAGGAAUAUUGGUCAAUGGCCGAGAGGCUGAACCAGCCACGUCGCGUGAGGGAGGACGGCCCUACGGGUUGUAAACCUCUUUUGUCAGGGAGCAAGGGACAGGUCGUGACCUGUUGUGAGAGUACCUGAAGAAAAAGCAUCGGCUAACUCCGUGCCAGCAGCCGCGGUAAUACGGAGGAUCCGAGCGUUAUCCGGAUUUAUUGGGUUUAAAGGGUGCGUAGGCGGUUUGAUAAGUUAGAGGUGAAAUGUCGGGGCUCAACCCCGAAACUGCCUCUAAUGAUG
rnacentral:rRNA from 1 species